rnacentral:lncRNA from 1 species
GAACACGCGUGGGGCCCUCUCCGAGGGGCCGGGCAGGGAAGCAGUCUGGGGCCCUCCUGCGUUUCCUGGGCGCCUCCGAGGUUCCCCCCACCUCCCUUGGAUCCCCGGGUCAUACCAACAUUCUCUGAGGACAGUUAGAGCCCACGGCAGCGUCCUCCUCUGGCUCUCUGGCUCCCUGGCUCAUGCAUGUGCAGACCAGGACUCCCUGUGCUAAGAGCUGGUAGGGCAGGGCUGUUCCUAGGGGCUCCUGCUGGGACACACCUACUCCUGACGCGCACUGGGUGGUCCACGCGAGAUGAGCUCGGUGCUGGGGUACUGGCUGUCCCACCGUGGCCUCCUGAGCCCGAGCAGACACGCGUGGGCCCUCUCCGAGGGCCAGCAGGGCCGCAGUCUGGGCCCUCCUGCGUUCCUGGGCGCCUCCGAGGUUCCCCCCACCUCCCUUGGGCCGGGCCGGGCCGGGAGGAGGCGCAGCCCCAGGAACCCUGUGCCACCUGGCUGGCCCGUGGAGGCCCCGCCCACGGGCAGGGCAGCAAGCUCCAGAGCCCCACGGCCGCUGCGCCCGACCCUGCAGCCUGCUGGCUGGCUGGAGCCACAGAGACGGCAGGUCUCCCCCGGCCAAGCCAAGAGUUGGCAGCGCGCUCCCCAAAAGCCUCCCCUGGCAGUUCCCGGGAGGAUGCAACUGGCUGCCCCUGGCUGGCUCCCUCCCGCUGGUCGGGCAAUGCAAAGCCAGACCCACUUCUGCCCCCUGGGGUCCUGGCCUCCAGGGCGGGCGGGUCCCCUUCGGCUUCCGUCUGCCCUUCGCCCGCCCGCGCGCCCGCCCGCGGAGCCUGCUGCAGCCAGCCCUGGCUCUAGGAGGCUGGCCAGCCGGCACUGCCAACUGGCCCCAGGUGCUAGCUAGAGGCCGCGGCAGGCCUCGGAGCACACCUGCGGGCGCCCCCAGGCCGCACAAGCAUUCUCUGAGGCAAGAGGAGCCCCAGGCCUCAUCUCCCUCUGGCUGGCGGGCUCGCCGGCUCGCGCGUGCGCAGUCCAGGACUCCUCACAGGAAAGGCUUGUCUAGGGAGGGGCCGUUC